GCCAAUUGAAAAAUAGCAACUAGUUGUUCUCAAUCAAAAAUAAAAACAAAAAUUGCAACUAUAGUACGAAAUUAUAAGUAAAAUUAGUGAAGUUUAGGGAUUAGGGAAAAAUGUUGAUUGUGUCAGAUCCUCCCACCUAAAUCAUAUUUCGACAAGAUUUCCCUGUCCAAGAUAAUUCUAUUAAAUUCAAUGCUACAUAAUUUUCCCUCUAUAUAUGUAAGUAUAAUGCAUGCUACCACCAAACUCAAAAUACAUGCUUCAUCACUCAUCAACUCAAAAAAUAAUAAAUUUAAUUACAAUGUAUGAAAGAGAAGAAACGAGGUGGCGCGUGGAAAAGAGGGAUGCGGAUAGGCGUUCCAACGGGUGGCUGCUGGUGGUGCUCGCCAUGCUUGCCGUGUCGCUGCUGGUUUUGCCACCAAUUUUGCCUCCACUGCCGCCGCCGCCGAUGCCGCUCAUGCUUUUUCCGUGCUUCUCGCGGUGCCAAAUUGAAGAGGAGACUGAAUGGAUUUCCAUUUAACUCCAAAACUGGGAAGAGCUACAUGGAGAAAAUACUUAAGUCUUUUUUGGAGAAAACAAAAGUUUAGGACAUUUUGUAGAAAAUACUCAAAAUUUCGGAUAUAAAACACUAUUAACCCUUCAAAUUAUCUUAUUUGAUUUGAUCUAUUUUGUUCUUAGACAAUUAUUUUACACUACAUUAAUUAUGUGUUCACACAUAUUUACAUUACAAUUUUAUUAUCUUAAAUAAUCA